UAUGUGACAUAUCAUUCAAGUUUCUGACCUAUCAGCUUUAGACGGUAGGGUAUUGGCCUACCGUGGCUAUGACGGGUAACGGGGAAUUAGGGUUCGAUUCCGGAGAGGGAGCCUGAGAAACGGCUACCACAUCUAAGGAAGGCAGCAGGCGCGCAAAUUACCCAAUCCUAAUACAGGGAGGUAGUGACAAGAAAUAACAAUACAGAGCCUUACGGUUUUGUAAUUGGAAUGAGUUAAGUAUAAACCCCUUAACAAGUAUCAAUUGGAGGGCAAGUCUGGUGCCAGCAGCCGCGGUAAUUCCAGCUCCAAUAGCGUAUAUUAAAGUUGUUGCAGUUAAAAAGCUCGUAGUUAAUUUUCUGUUAAUUUUUAUAUACAAUGCUACGGUAUUUAUAUAAUAUUAACAUAAUUCAUAUUACUUUUUAAGUAUAUGAAACUUUACUUUGAGAAAAUUAGAGUGCUUAAAGCAGGCUAUUGCCUUGAAUACUCCAGCAUGGAAUAAUAUUAAGGAUUUUUAUUCUUCUUAUUGGUUCUAGAAUAAAAAUAAUGAUUAAUAGGGACAGUUGGGGGCAUUUGUAUUUAACAGUCAGAGGUGAAAUUCUUAGAUUUGUUAAAGACAAACUACUGCGAAAGCAUUUGCCAAGGAUGUUUUCAUUAAUCAAGAACGAAAGUUAGGGG
rnacentral:rRNA from 1 species